UGGCUUCCUGUGGUCAGGAGACUUCUGGCUGGAGGCUUGACCCCACUUUUCCUGAUGAAUGACCUUUAGAGGUGGCUCCAGGCUGCUUGGGUGUGAAGACCCAUGUCAUCAGCAAAAGUGGGAUCCCAGAGCCUACCUGCCAUUCCCAGCAACAAGGAUCAUUCUGAAUGAUAAUUAAGAAUGUAUUUUCCAACAUGGAAGAAUAUCAGGCCUUCAGUAAGCGUGACUUGACAGCCCCCAGGGCGGCCCAGGUCUGAGAGCUGACAGUCAUCAGAACCCCAGCACCACAGGGAGCUAAGAUCACAGAGAAACCCUCAGAGCCGUGCAUCCUUCUUGAAUCAAUCCCUUCGCUUUCUUCCACCAAGCCAGAAAGCAGCCUCAGACUCUGAGCAGCCACUUCCAGUCCCUUGGGGCAGACACCCACGCAGAAGCCUGCUUGCAUUUCUGUCCUGGGAGUGGAGAGAAGAGAGCCCUGUGGCUGUGUAGCCUGGCAAGGCUUUGUGGAAGAGGGGGCCCAACUUCACCUU